UCCCAUUGAUGGUAGGUAUUUUCUUCUCAUCUCAUUGGCUUCACCAACCACCCUAAACAGUGAACAUGUUACAUGCCUUUCCAACUAACCAUCAGUACAACUGAAGCAGCUCAGACUUGCAAGCAAAUUGCCUCAACAAAUAUGGAUUUGGACUGCUCAUGUCACUCUCUCAAUCCUUAGUUUAAUAAACUCUAAUCCUUUUUCUUUUCUUGUCCUUCACUAAUCAAGCACUUAGAUGUAGUGCUUGAGAUCUUGGACCCACUUUACCAAAUUGCAUCAUUGCAUCAGGGCAUUAUAAUUAAACCAACUCGGGUGGUUGGGCCAUCAUUGGUUACAGCUUUUGGAAUCAUGCUGAAAGCUGCUCUGUAUCUUUACCUCUACAUUGUUAAGAUCCCAAUGCGCCCUCACAGUACUUGAAUCUGUGAGUGAGUUCAUCAUCAUUUGGCCCUUCAAAUGUCAUGAGAUGAGUCAACAGUUGCAUUCAACAGGGUGAUGAGUUCCCCAGCUUCAUGAUCUCUUUGACAUUGUAGACUAUUUUCAAACCCAGCCCUUCAGUUCACAGAAAACCUAAUGAAUCUUGUAGGUAGGCUGUCUGCAUCAGAGAGAUCCAUCCCUGUAGGAGAUAUGGACAUUACUUUUGAUCAACUUGAAGGCCUUAACAACAUCCAAGGCAACUAGGGCGGAAGAAAAAAUUGGCCUUUUGUUGGAUCAUUGCUUUAUACUAUGAUGUGGACCCAUGGCACUAAUCCAUAUUGCUAGUAGUUCAGUAACUCACUAGCUUGACUAAGAAAUUUUGAUCACAUUUAGCAGGAAGCAUGCUGCAUUUGGGCUUAAUAAUUUGAUCUCCCAUAAGACAUGCUGUAGUGAUAAGACGAUGAUGACCAAUAUAUAUUGUGAUUAGGUGAAGCAUUAACACCAGACAAGAAGCAUGGUCAUGGUGUGCACUCUUCUCUAUCAAGUAAGCUGGACAGUCAAUAGUACUAAUCUUAAUCCCAUACUAAUAAGUCACACAACAUUUAUAUUUAUUUAUUGUUCGUAUAGCGGUCCUUAUCGCAGAUAAGCUGGCUAAAUUAGAUGCAUUGAGUGUUUAAACAUCCAUCUCAACCAACUGGCAAUGUAACCUACUAUCAUUGCCCAAUUAAUUAACAUGAAAUGUCACAAACAAGUUUCUAUUCCAUGAUCUGGGCACUCUUAAUACUACUAAUUUUAGGGUGUGGAAUUUUUUUUUCCCCUUUGGAGCCUAUAGAUGACUAUAAACUAGUUGAAGAUUAAGAUAAUCUCAGAUCAUUGGUAUGAGAUGCAUAAAUAUGUGCCAGCAACCUAAGAAAUUGACUUUCUAAAGGGUUGCCAGAUUAUCUGCACAAGAGAGUCUGGAGCUAUAUUUGCCUACUGUAACACCCCAAAAGAAACACACAAUAAUUAAGUUACAAAGCAAUAACAUCAUCUACCACUGUUCAUUUCUGCUGAGCUAACUAGCCUCAGAUCUACAUUAAGGUUGUUUUCAAAUCAAAAAGUGAAUAACCACAGAAAUAAAUUUAACCCAUGAUUAGCCAGAAAGUAAAGAAAUGAAUUUUCGGAGAAGAAAUGUUCAGUAAUAGGUUGACAGGUAAUGAAAUAAGUGAAGAUACGCCACCUAAUAUAAUAGGAUUUGUAUUGCACCUGGUAGUAAGCACAAACAUUGCUAAGCAUAAACUCAUGCAUUACUAGAAUUAUUAAAAACAUGUGCAGAUUAUAAACUAAAACUAGAACCAUAGAACUAUACCUGAUUGUUAUUACCGUGCAGGAAUGGAAAUUGUUCCAGAUGCAAUUUCACAGAACUAGCACAAUUGGUGAAAUCCAGAAACUGUAUAUAGGAACAAUACAGAACAUAUAAGUGCUAUGUUACGAACGUUUGAGGUGUUGUGCAACAUUUCUCCUAGUAAUACAAACAUAUUGCUGGGACAUCCUUUAAGAUUUUAAAUAUUGCGCUGAUCAUCACCAGAGAACCAUGAAUUAUAAUCUAUGGACAAUUCGGUAUCCCCUCCCUAGCAGAAGGGUUCAAACUCCUCUAUACAGCUCUAUUCAUGCUUUCCCUUAUCAGAUUUGGCCACUUCAGAAUCAUCAAAUUCAAUGUGUCCAAGGGCUUCUCUUUGUGAACAUGAUUCUGCAGGUAUCUGAUUCAGUAAAACAACUUCUCAUAUCAUAAUCCUUCAACUAAUCUAUCUCUUGGUUUGCCUUCUCUGUCUCCUCUGCCAAUAAUGCUCUUUCUGCAAGAUGUAUAGUAAAAUAAGAAAGAUAAACAUAGACAAACUGAAAGCAAAAGACUUAUCCUAUAUGAAAUCCACUUUAAAAUGUAAUUUAUCCAAAAGAUGAUAAAGACAAACAUAAAGAGCUUGAAAGCAAAAGACCAAUGCAGAAGAUAGCUGCUGCUCAGAUAAAUCCUAUAAGAAAUUUCCUUACCAAAACAUAGUUAUCCAAGAGAUGUUUAACCAUAAUUGACUUCACACCAAAGCUAAAUUAACAAGGAAUAUUCAUGAACCACCACCUGCUUACUUUGGUGAGAUAAAAGACAAUUAAUUACAUGGUGUUCCAUGAAAAGCUUUUCUUAGCUAAGUAGUCCCAAUUAUACACCUCAGUUCAGUCUAUCACAGUUGAAAGUCUUUCUAAUCUCCGCAACUUUUGGUAUGAAAAGAGAAAAUCCAACAAAACAAUUAGUGACACAACAAAAGUUGAGUACACAGAAACUGCAGUGGAUGCUAGAUGCCUCUGAAUCUUAACUUCCUAACAUUUAAGCAAUAUGUUACUCUGCUUAUCAUUCAAUAGACUCUAACAUUAGCAACCAUAUCAAAUGUUGGCAUAGGUUGUAGCUUUUGGAUGAAAUCAACACUAUAUGAAGGUCAAUGUCACAAAUGAUCCACAAAGUAUGGGUCCGAGGCCAAGGAGCAAGUGAAAAAAAAGAUCAAAAGCAUGGUUCGCCUUAUCGGUCCUACCGGUGUACUAACCAGCUAUCAAUACGGUAUGUACCGAGCUAUAUCGAGCAUACCGACACAUGAUACAUGGGAGUUUACCAAUAUAUCACCUGUACCGGACCACUGUCAGACUUGUACAUACUGCCUGUACUGAGCAGUACAUUAUGGUACGUUGCAUCUUCGGUAAAAGGUAUAGCUUCUCUCUCAUUAUAGAGACAGCAGGUAUCCAUGAUACAUCUAACUUGAUAUGUAAGUUUUAAGUCCUAUGUACUGGAUACUUCCAUAGAGCAUUAUGGAGGAAUAUGCAUGUUGCUCUUACAAGAAAGCAUAGAUGUAAUAGCACAUUGAUUUGCAUAUGGGCAACUAUACUAUUGUAAGUGACAUCAAUAAGUAUAAUCUUGCCCACACAUUCCCACUGGACACCACCAGUGUGAAUGUACAAAUUUGAUAUGAAUCUUAAUGUGAGAAUUAAUUCACUACAUGAAAAUGCAUGAAACAGCAAAAGGGAAAAAAAAAGUACCUCACCAAUUGCAGCAGCUUCCUCUGCUCCUUAUAGCCGCACAAUCUCUGGCAGUUUGUAGAGCUUCAGCAGUGUCUCUCAGUUGAUUGAAGGGUUUUAUUUUCAUCCUUCCAUUGUCACCUUUCCCUCUCUCUUUCUGAUUUUAAGAUUAAAACUUCAGCUGCAGGAGAAGUAAUAAACUUUAAUUCAGCUCCCUUGAUACCAGCUAUUGCUGCUGCUCCAAUUGCAUCCUCAAUUCUAUUGCUGAUUUACUGAUUUCUUGAAACAAGUGCAGUAUGCUUCUCCUGAAGUUCCGCAUACUGUCCUAAAAUUUGGUUACGAUCCUGCAUUGUUGUUUGUACUGCCUCUUUCAGCUCCUUGGCACAUUUUUUUUUUCUCAGGAUCAGGUUCUACUUUCAACUUUUCAGCCAAAGAACAACUUGCUUCAAAUGCAAGCCUAAGUUCUUCAACAAGAGAACAGUUUCUCGCUAUUUCUGUCCAACUAGUCCUCCCUGCUUCAACUUUAUUAUCAGCACUUUAACCAACUCAGAUGUUGUGCUGAGAGGAGCAAGGAGUCAAUUCAGAAGAAGAAAAGGAAACCAUGUAGCAUUGCAAAUUUGCAACAUAGCCAUCAAGCUCAUCCGGCACCCUUUUCAGUUCAAUAUUUACCCAUAAAACCUCUGGAUGAUUCUCGUAUUUUUCUUCAAGAAGCUAUAGUUUGCAUAGAAUUUUUAGUACUAGUAAGAAAGUUUAGAUAGAAAAUCUUGGUAAGACAACUAAAGAGAUAAAAAAAUGUCAAACAUAGGAUCAAGGAUUGGUAAAACCUUAUGUUCAUACACAAGCGCAAUAAACUCUUCACUUAAUCCAUAAAAGUCUCAAUCUGAGAGAUUUUACCCUCAAGGGUUUGAGCAACAAUUACAUUGCAUUCUUGUUCAUGUUUAUAUUGUUGGACCUACCACAUCCACAAUCAUAUGGAACAUAACAAACAUUAAACUCAGUACAAAACUCAAGGUGGAAGUCGAGCAUAAACAAUUUAGCUGCAUAAUUUCAGCAGCUUGCUUCAAGUGCCAUUUCUCACCUGAUGGAUCCUACCAAGACUUGCUCCACUGCCUAUCACAAAAAGAAAGAUGUUCAGUACAUUUCUUUUUGAGGGAAUGAGGGAAAGAUUUCCAAUUAUUCAGAACAACCUUUAGAUACAAGGUAUGCAAAAGAUUAAAAACGAAAACAAAAUAAUAAUUUUCUCAACUUAUAAUUUUUGUGACCCAAUUUUGGUAUAUGCAUACUGUGUUUAUCAAUUGGCACCAAUUCAUCAGCAGGUGCCGGCUGCAAUUGCAUGCUUCUGUUGGAAUGUUUACCCUAAUAUUAUAGAAUUUUCUUAUUACAGUAACUACAUAGUAGGAAGCUCUUCUCGCACUUCUAAAUCUUGAACAAGUGCUUGAAUUCCAACAUCAACCUUGUUUAUUGAGACAAUUAAUUUGCCUUCAAUGGACUGAUAGAAAACCUGAAAGAUGAAUUUCUUGGGACUGAGGUUUGCUGCCAGUUACCAAUAAUUUGAAGACCAUGUCGGAGACUAGCUGUGAGGCAUUCAGUUGGUUUGAGAUAAGUAACCUAAAUAUUCGAACUUGUCAGAUAGCGAGUUUGAGAAUUAAUGACAAAAAAAAGUGACCAACAUCAAAGUAAAGAGUUCUAUAUUUAAUUAUCUAUAAGACUAUAAAACUGAACAUAAAUACAGUGAUAACUUUUCUGGAUAUCCAAUUUCUUUGUUCUAAAUAUAGGACUACUAAUAGAACCCAAGCAAGAUCCAAAUUUUGGAUAUCCAACUUCUAAGUUCUGAAUAUACAGAAACACUCUGAAUACUUGAAAACUGGAUGGGUGCACUGAUAAGUAAUUUAAAUCUUAUUGCAUCCCUAAAUUAUGCCACAUGGAUCAAGGACCAUUUGCUGUGAAUCAAAGGGGUUGGAAUAGAAGGAAGGCUCAGGCUCAGAUUCAUCCAAAUUAAGAUUAGCUACACCUUUUGUAAUGUUAAUUUGUCUAAAGCAAACAGGUUUAAUUAAAGGGAGGAGCAUUCUGGACAAAAUCUAUAUUCUCCAACAGCUUAUUCUGAUCUUACACAUUCCAUGUUAUCUUAUAGUGGUAAAUCCCCCACAUUUUGAUCAAAAGAGACAAGAGACAAAGCCUAUGAUAGUCCAUCUUUGAGGUCUUUAAGCAUAUGAAGUUCCCUCGAAAGUAGAUUGAUUAAAAGUAUAGUUGCAUCUGAUCUGCAUUUGACUGGAACUUCAACAUUAUUUAUUCAAUGUAUGUAGAUGAAGUAUGAAGUUCUCUUAUUGUGACACCAAGAUAGUCCCAAAUCAGAAAAGAGGAAAGGAAGGUCUUGUCUCCAUUACAGGAGCUCAUUACUAAUAACUUCAGUUCAAACAUUUUGGAGUUUGGAGCACAUGCCCAGUCUUGCUUCACACAGUUAUUUAGUGUGUACAGACAUUAGAGAAUCUUUCUAAAGUCCUAUGUGGACAACCACAUGUUAACAUAUGGAGAUGGCUUUCUUAAAAUUUGCUAAUAUAAAAUUCUAAGGAGGAUUCUGGUCUAUGAAUAAAGCUUAAACGAGGGUAUCAGGGGUUUCAAUGUGAAGAUCGUGGCACUCCAACAGUCCAUUCAUCAAAAGAUAAGAGCAAUAACUACAUGAUUUGAUUUGCCACCUACUAGUUAUAUGACCAAAUCAUUUUGGCCAAUGUAGCAACGGUGACUCCACAUAGAAUAUUAGUUUAGCAGGUCAAAUGAGUAAUUCUAGAAGUGAAUGCAUUCCACUUCAAGUAUAGAAAGGCAUAUGUUUUCUUAUAUAUGUGUAUAUACCUUAAAAUACAAGAACCUAGCAAACGACAAAUCUAUAUACCAAGACAUCAUAAUUUGACCAGUAUAAACCAAGGAAAAGACAAAAAAUAGGUUCUUUCUGAUGUCAAUACUAUUAGGUUUCUAAAACAAAUUAUGUUCCAGUAUGUGUUUCAAUACUCAUUUUAUCAUACUGGUAAAAUGUUAGGCAGAAAGGGGAAGUCUGUGACCAGCAGAAAUAGGGAUCAUGGUGUUCAUGACUUGAAAUCAAAAAAUAAGUACAGACAGAACUAGAAAAAAUUAAGAAGAAAAGUGGCAUUGAAAAAGGCUGUAAGCAAAAGAACUUGGCAUGGAUUGUUAAAAAUCUUUAAGAAGGGUAGCACGGAAUAAAGAAAACUUAGUUUAAUGGUGCCUGAAGUCAUAAAAAGAUAGAUGUUCUAAAGAAAAUAUAUUAAAUAAACAGGUUGAUAAAUAUAACACUAAUUUGAAAAGUGAUUGUUUCCCAAUCAAUGAUCCACAGAGCAAAUUCCAAACAGAUAGUAUCAUAGGAGAGUAAAUAAAGUAUCAUAGGAGAGCAAAUAAAGACACAACAAAUAACUUAUUUAUUUUGCCAUCAUUUCUGUUGUAUCUAUGAGAUUAUGUGCAAUUUAUGCAGUUUCCUGAAUGAUGCUUAUCGAUAGUAAGUAUAUAACUGAUAAAGAAUUCCUGAUAAUAAUUCACCUUCAUUAAUAGUUGGUUUACAUCAUCAUACGAACAAACUCCUCUGUCAAAUAAUCAACACAAAUACCAGUUGAAACAUCCACCUUAAUCUGAAAGAUAUGGCCAAUUUCAGAAACAACAGAGAAUGCUAUAGGCAAGUAAUGAAGAAACGGUAAAAGACCAAAAUUGGUUUGGCACUCCUUUAUGUCAGUUCCAGCAGGUUUGUGAUUUCAUCAUUGUAGACCUGUAAACACAAUAGCCUGAUAAAUCACAAACCAGAAAUGGAACAAAGCUAGAAAUACUUGGAAUAUCAAGUAACGUCAGCACAAUUGCCUCCAGGAAAGAACAAUAGGACUGAAAAUUCAGCUGUUUGUCAGAGUGCUUCAGUUGUUCCUAGAAUAAAUACUCUCUAAGCAUGAAGUUACCAAGGUUUCCUACCAAGCAGAAGGUUUAAAGUUACCCACUUCAUCUAUGCAAGAAAAGAGCCUCUCAUAGGCACACAGGGUCAAUCCUCUGUUAGUUCUAUACCAAGCAUCUUCUAAUAACGCAUUGGGAGGUCCCCACAUAGUAUAAGUCUUUCCCCUGCUGGUCUUUGCCAAAUAAAUCAUCAAGCAGCCAUUAACCUUUUCUACAGACAAGUACAUCCGAAGAAAGAAGUCCUAUAGAAUUUGAAUAGAAGAAUCACUAUGCAACUGACCAUAUGCAUAUAUUGAGAUGCUGAACAUCACUAACGGCAUGGCAACAAUUCAAAAGAUAUCAUCUUGAUGUUUUUAGUUCUUGAGAAAACGACCUGUCCAAACCAUAGCGUCAACAGUAAUCCGAAUGGGAAAUUUUGCAAUUCUGAACCCACCAGUUCAAAGAUAGAUCGUCUUCUUUUUCCUGUUUGCUUGGAGGAAACGAAGCUAGAAAAGAUGGCCCUCGACACUAACUCCAAGGAGGUACCUGAACCCCAGAAUCCGGCACCUGGAAAGGUGAAAUCCGUUUUUCAAAGAGCGUUUCCAGGCAGCGGUCGCGGAGAUGGACUUUCCGGCACUGGCGGGGGAGGAGAACGGAGACCUGUCCGGCGACACGGGUCAGGGAUCGAUUGCCCCUGUGAGAGAAAGGGGUUAGGUUUAAUAAGGCCGAGCGCCCCUUGCACUAAGGCCGAGCGCCCCUUGCACUCGUGAUUGCCUUCAUCGAUAUCGAGCGGAGGGAGGAAACGGGAGAAGGCCGCAACCCUAACGAUAUAAGAGAGACGUUGCGAGAUUUGAAUCGGUAAGGGGUAUAAAAGUAACUCUACUAUAACUUUUCAAACAGUGUAAGAUUACCCGCGGAGCGGUGAAACUAAAUUUAUAUAUUUUUCUUUCAAUAUCUUAAUAUCUUAUUUGAAAUAUUUAAAAUUUAAAUUACUAUUCAAAUAUUUGUUCCAAUUGAUUGAAUUCUUAAAAAAUAUUUUUAUUAAUUUAAUAAAAAUAUCUUUUUAUCUUCCAUCACUUUGACCUCAACUUCAUUCUCUCCUAUCCUCUCUCUCUCGACAUUUCUCCUUUCCCCUCCUCUUAUUGUUAAUAAAAUGAUAAGUAGAGAGAGAAGGAGGACAAUGAAGGCGUUAGCAUAGACAAUAGUCUUAUCUCUUUCCCUCAGUAAGAUCAUCUUAUAGAGACACUAACAGAUACCUCUAUCACCUCCUUAAUACUAUCAUCCAUCAUCCUUUUGAGGCGGAGCUCCUAUAGGUGCAGCCAAUCCUUUGUCAUCGUCUCGACCUACACCUUAGCCUUGUUGCCCCAAUCACUAAGCACUAAUUUGAAAUCAGCAUUGCCACAAAGAUCAUUAUUGGUAUCAUAAUUGCCCACCUUUAUUUUACAUACUUACUCCCACCGUAAUAAAAAAGAGCGAGAAAAGAGGAAGAGAAAGAAGAAUAAAAUAGAGAAGCAAUAGGUAACGAGGAAGGGUAGACAAUAGAAAUGAAAAGGAUAAGAAGAGAACAGAAGGAAGGGAAGAAAGAAUAAAAUAGAGGAACAACAUGUAAUAACGAGGAAGGGUAGACAAUAAAAGAGAAAAGAGGCGAAGAAUAUUUUUAUUAAAUUGAUCAAAAAAUGAUGCUGCUAAGUUGAAAACCAAUUAGAGGUCAUCAUUUAAUUAAAACCCAACAUUGAGAAUUUUUAGAUAAAGUAUGUAAUAUAUUUCACGUGUCAUUUUAAACGAUUCCCAUCAUUUUAUCUCUAAUUAUUUUGUUUUAGUUAUCAAUAAAUUUACACAAUUUAUUUUGACCAUUUUAAAAUAAAUACAUACACAAACAUAACUUCCCGAGCAACAUCCUCUUUAAUUUAGAAUUGAAUUAUUGAGCAAUAUAUUAAUAUAUCUAUUUUAUUUUUUUAUACAUCUAUCUUAACUAUACCUUAUUUUCUUUAAUUGUUAAUAAAAUGGUGCUUGGUACAUUUUUCCUAUUUCAUCUUAAACUUUAUUUCUUAUCAAUUAAAAUUGAAGACAAAACCAUUAGCAGAUAAUAAUACAUUCCAAAUCGAAUUUUUUCCAUGUGUUGAUCAAACCCUAUAAUAAAUUUGUGCAAAAGAGAAUCAUAAAAGCAUAAAUUACCAUUCAAGUCAACUAUAAAAAAAAAAGAGUAAAAAAAUAAACAAAAUAACAGCAAAUUUGAGAGGAUGAGAAACAAAGUACAAAUCCAUGAAGUAAAACUAAUCUCCUAUAGAACAGGAUUUCUCCAAUUCAACAAUCUCAUAAUAUACAAACAGUAACAGUUGCUAUUUAUAUUUUAAAUUGAUGAUGAAAGAUAGUAAAUUAGAGAAGUAAAGCUUCAUUUCCUCAGGGAGAAGUGGCUUUUAUUUCCCCAUUUAAAUCAAUUAAUUAGAAAAAAAAAAAGAGGCCAAACUAUGGAGCUUUUAGCAUGCGGAGAUGUUGAUGGAUGUGGACAUGUACAAUUAGUUGUAUACAUGCACAUGUCUCACCAACCGUAACAACCAUGGCAAUAGAGAGCAUAUAAAUGGACGGGAUCCAUGGGAUUAGUUGUUGAAACCUGAUGAUGACCUGUCCCACAUUUAAACUGACUAAUUAGACUGUCCAAUGAGUUACGCUUACCAAUGUCGAACCUUUCCAUGUUAAGUGCAAUGCUUUUCUCACUUCGUCAUCGUGAACCCGUUCGGUACCCGAUAUGGGUCCCGAAUUCGAACCAUUGAUAGCUGUUACUAUUCUAGGUAGGCGAGCGGGUCGAGUGGGACGGGUGGAAAGGUAUUUUCUUGUCACGAGAUGACCUGUUUCCCUGCCCGCACGUGCCGCUGAGCCCGUAAUUCUAUCGCAGGUCCGGAUCCCCUCCGAUCUCGACUGCAAUUGCUAGGGAUGCCACGGGCCGUGCCGCUCAUCCUGGCCGUCCGUGUUAAGCGUGUGCCUCGAGUGGGUCCCAUCGCGUCGGGGUUGGAUCGGAUCCGGUCCUCGUGGUCCCACCCGCACCGUCGGUGACGACCCCCUCGUCGGGUCUCCAUGUGCGCUGUUGCUUCCUCCACCCAUCCUUCGCCACGUCACCACCAGCUAUCCUUGGUUUCGGAUUCAGUGCAUGACUCACUGCAUGAUUCACUGGAUCUAUCGAUAGGGAGACCCCAUUAUGAGUUCCUCUUGUCGACCCCACGCUUAGUGGGAAUUCUCAAUGGACGCUUUCACUGAACGGAGUUCUGGUUUGUUCAUGAAACCACGGGACCCUCCGAAUUCGCCGGUCCUCUCACUAAAAUAUAUUAUUAGUUUCCCAUUCUGCCCCUCUCCUUCCUCCUCCCACAAUUAGAUCGAAGGAGAGAGAGGGGGAAGGAAAGAGAUCUCAUCGCGUCGAUGUCUCCUCCGCCGCCUAACUACGAGUUCCAAGAAUGGUGGAACAAGGAGCGGUUCAAGGCCCAGGGACUCCUCUCCCCCUACCCUUCACCGCCGGCGGCGGCGGCGGCCGUGGAUGCCUCCGCGGAUGCCGCCGCCGUCGACGUCAGCACCCCGACUACCCCCGCUGCCGCCGGCAAGUCUCGUGGCCGUAGUCCCCGGCAACUCUCCUGGCUCCUCCUCCUACGCCUUCACCACUCCGCCGCCAUCCUUGCCUCCCUCCCCUCCCGCUUCCUCACCCUCCUCCGCACCGCUGCACGCCGGAUCUCCACCGCCACUCGCCGCCCCUCCCCUGUGUCCCGUCUCUACCGCCUCAUCCGAGCCUUCCUCGUCCUCGCUGUCGUCCUCCUCGCCCUCGAGCUCGUCGCUUACUUCAAGGGCUGGCACUUCAGCCCCCCGUCCUAUGCCUCGUCCGCCGAGGCCCUCGAGAUCGUCUACGCCAAUUGGCUCGUGAUCAGGGCCAGGUACCUUGCGCCGCCCGUCCAGAUGAUGGUCAACGUGUGCAUCGUGCUUUUCCUUGUGCAGUCGGUGGAUCGUGUGGUUUUGGUGCUCGGAUUCAUUUAUAUUAGGCUCCGGGGCGUGAAGCCGGUCGCGGCGGUCGACUAUGGAAGCCAGGGAGAUUUGGAAGUGGGGGGCGCGGUGAAUGUUGAGGACUACCCAAUGGUGUUGCUUCAGAUCCCGAUGUGUAACGAGCGGGAGGUAAGCCGACGUAGGUCCCUUUGGUUACAGCACUCUUUGUUUUCUUGAUCAAUGCAUGAAUCUUUACAUUUGUUUUCUCGGGGCAAAUUGAUAUAAUUUUCGUUGUAACUCUGUCAAAAAUGGGAUUUUGCAUGGAGUUAUUAUCACUAAUCUCGGAGAUAUGCUCGAUUAAUCCAAUCGUUAGCAAGAAUUUUGAAAAUUAUAAGCUUCAUAAUUUGGGAGAGAGUUUAUUGAUGAUUGUUCUGCAGAGUGCGGGCAACAACUAUGUUCUAGCGCCAAUAGAACGUUUUGUUCAAAGUGCAUUCUUAUCGCUCUUCAUUAGCAAAUCUUUCCUUGCUUAAAAUUUGGAGCUUGCAUUUGGAAUGACGUUGUGAUUGAAGAAGUUUGCAGUGUCAUCAUUAUCUGUACCAUCUUCACUGUAUAACAAAGUCAAUAUUUCAUUGAGGAAUUAUGCGAGGCCGUUUAAUCUUUUCUUUAAUUGUUAAACAUUUUGAUCAAAGGUUUUCUUUUUAGUCACAUUUUUCGCUCAUUCUCGGACCUUUCUGUUGCAAAUCAAUCAGUAACACUUGACUUAUUGCUUCCUAAUGUAAAAAUAGUUCAUCUUAAUUUGACUUAUUAUAACAUUUCAAUUUUACUUCCAUUGCAAGAGGCUCCUGCAGGGUGCAUGGGCUGAGAGGGUGUUCGUAUGGUUCAAAUCAUUAUCAAUUGGGCCAUAAAAGAACAAUCUUACCUUGACACCAAGUGUCAUCUUGACCUUUGAAAUUUUCUAAUAUUGGCCUUUCAAAAUCAUUUAUUUAGUGACAUGUCUCUCGUACCACUCAAAUUUAGAUUCAUGACUUUCGUAUUGCAUGCAACCAAAGCACCUCUUUGACUCUUCUUAUUAGAAUUCAACCAUUAAUCACUUCAGUUGCUCCAGCUUAUAUGAAAUUCUGCAUUUGGCGGCUUAGAAGUUAUAAGAAAGAUAACUUACUCAAAAGCAAGACUUCACAUUGCAUAUAUUUCCUAUCAAUAAUUUAUCUUGCAUGUCAACAGAGCACUUUCUCUCUGUAAUGUUUAGUACCAAAAUGUCAAAUACAUGAAAUUUUGAUGAUUAUGAAUUUUUCUAUCUUUGGUUUAUUAAUAUGAAAUCCCCUUCUCCAAGUGACCAUUAUGAGGUUUUUUUUUUUUAAUUUCCAUUACAUCAAAUGACGAACAUCAUGCUCACAUAUAGACUCGAACCUGAGAUUUAUCACUUGUGCACUAACCAACUCGGAUGUCUUAACAGAGACCAUUAUGAGGCUUUUUUAAUAAUAGUAUAAUUAAUUCUUGUCCUAUCAAAUUUAUCAUUUUUGUGCAUUUCUUCUUGUUUAUCACAUUCACUUGCCUUGGUUUAUAUCGGCCAUUUACUCUUCUUUUAGUUGAGAUAAACUGCUUCAAAAGUUCCAAGUCCUACAUCUAAUAUAAACUGUUUGUGAUUCAGGUUUUCUCAAUCUGUUUUUUCUCUACUCAGUAAUUAAUACUUCCAUUCUAAGCAACGGAAGAGCACUUUGUUUCACACUGUGAUUUCUAGUAUCAUGAUCUUGGACGGUUUUCUCAAUUUGUCUUUUCUCUACUCAAUAAAUAGUACAUGCAUUUUAAGCAUCACUGGAGCACUUUAUUUCAUAGUUUGUGAUUUUCUAGUAUCAUGAUUUCAGACAAAUCUAUAUGGAAAUGGUUGUUUUAUUUUUUGUUCGAUGUUUCUGUAUGUUUUAGUCAAAAAUCCUAAUUCUCUACUUAAUAUGAGUUUUUGUUUAUUGCCAGCAUUUGUUGCCUCUCUCUAGGAGAUGCGUGGUUUAAACUCCAUUAUAUAUUUCACGAAAGUACAUAAUUUCACAGAAAGCUUUUUGUCAUUGUGAAUACCCUUAUGUACUGAAUUCGUUCUCUUUUUUUAUGUGAGGGAGAUCUCAUUUCUCUACUAUGCUUAAUUCCAUACUGAAUUUACAGGUUUACCAGCAAUCUAUUGCGGCAGUCUGCAUCCAGGACUGGCCAAGGGAGAGAAUGCUCAUCCAGGUGUUGGAUGACUCUGAUGAUAUGGAUGUGCAAAACCUUAUUAAGGCUGAAGUGCAGAAAUGGCAGCAAAAAGGAGUGCGCAUCUUAUACAGGCAUCGACUUAUCCGCACAGGCUAUAAAGCUGGGAACCUAAAGUCUGCUAUGAGCUGUGAUUAUGUGAAAGACUACGAGUUUGUUGCUAUAUUUGAUGCAGAUUUUCAGCCAGCACCUGAUUUCUUAAAAAAGACAAUCCCACAUUUUAAGGUACUGCUAUUUUUUCUCUGUAAUGAUGUAAAAACAAUAGUAUUUUUCUGCUAAUAUGUAUUGUAUCAAGUUUGAGAAGUGAAAUAUGGUUUUUAAUCAGAUCACAUAGUCAACUUGCUCUUGAAUGAGAGCAUGAUUUUACCAUGUGUCUGCUGUCCUGUCUGCAGAAACCUGCAAAAUAUAAUUAUCAAUGUCAAUAAAGAAAAAGAUAUGCAUUAUCAAGAAAUGAGGUGUUUGAAGUAUUGUUUGAUACUUGUUUUAGACCAACCAAAGAUUUAUUUGGUGUCUCAAAGACUCCGUUUUAGAAUUUUCUGUGCACAAUACAGCACUUUAUGUUUAAUGAUUGUAAUGCUUUUAUUCCAAUUUCUCUUUUUUAUCCUUGUAAAUUUUGUGCAGGGGAAUGAUGAUUUAGCAUUGGUACAAGCUAGAUGGGCCUUUGUAAACAAGGACGAGAACUUGCUCACGAGGCUGCAGAACAUAAAUUUGUCUUUUCAUUUUGAGGUUGAACAGCAAGUUAAUGGUAUAUUUAUCAAUUUCUUUGGCUUCAACGGAACAGCUGGAGUCUGGAGAAUAAAAGCUCUUGAAGAAUCUGGUGGUUGGUUGGAGCGAACCACUGUUGAGGACAUGGAUAUUGCUGUCCGUGCUCACCUGUGUGGAUGGAAAUUUAUUUUUCUCAAUGAUGUCAAGGUUUUUCUCACAAAUUAGUUCUUUUGAACUACUGCAAUUUAUUCUUGUAGGCAUCCUUCUUGACAUUACCCCUUCUUUAAUUUCUUUGUGCAGUGUCUUUGUGAACUGCCAGAAUCGUAUGAGGCAUAUAAGAAACAGCAACAUAGGUGGCAUUCAGGUCCAAUGCAGCUACUUCGCAUGUGCUUUCUGGACAUCCUUCGCUCGAAGGUCAGGCCUCCAUCUCUAUCUAUUCCAAUCCUUUGUGUUGACUGGUUUUAUAUGAAAUCAUGGAGUGAUUUUCUUGAUCUCUCUUUAAUUUCAGGUGAGUUUCUCCAAGAAGGCCAACUUGAUUUUUCUUUUCUUCCUCUUGAGGAAGCUGAUCCUGCCAUUCUACUCAUUUACUCUAUUCUGCAUCAUUCUCCCUUUGUCGAUGUUCCUGCCAGAGGCUCAUUUGCCAGCUUGGGUUGUUUGUUAUGUCCCUGGUUUAAUGUCUGUUAUCAGUAUACUUCCUGCGCCGAGGUCAUUCCCGUUUAUAGUCCCAUACCUACUUUUUGAGAACACAAUGUCUGUCACCAAAUUCAAUGCUAUGAUAUCGGGACUUUUUAAAUUCGGGAGUUCGUACGAGUGGAUAGUUACUAAGAAGUUGGGAAGGUCAUCGGAGGCAGAUUUGGUUGCAUAUGUCGAACAGGAUCCUGAGCCCAGCAUAGAAGAUGGAAACAUUCAUAGGUCAUCUUCUGAGUCUGGCCUUGCCGAGUUAAACAAAUUGGAGGUAACUAAGAAGGCAGGGAAAACCAGGAGGAACCGUCUAUAUAGGAAGGAGCUUGCUCUUGCUUUUAUUCUGUUAACUGCGUCUGUGAGAAGUCUAUUGUCUGCACAGGGGAUUCAUUUUUAUUUCUUAUUGUUUCAAGGAAUCACAUUCCUUGCUGUUGGGCUAGAUCUUAUUGGGGAGCAGGUGAGCUGAACCAUGUUAUUCUUGCUCCUACACUAAAAAGUUCCGAGAGACCAAACUUUCCAUGCACAGCUGCCUCCGGUUCCACCAUGCCUCUCCACUGAGGUCACUGACUCACUGAUGGUAGGUCAUGUUGACCAUCAAGAGGAGUAAACAUGGAGUCAAUUGCUUUCAGCCAUCAGUUCAUUCUUUCAAAUUCGUGUUGUAUAAUUUAGAAGCCCUGCACAAGCUACAACUGGAUCGGAAUGGAUCCUGUGCUUGGUAAGGAAGGCUGUAUAAUGCUCUAUAGGUUUAUUAGAUUUUCCAUUCUUUCCAUCACCUUUUGUUUGUCGCUUAUGAUUCAGAUACGUAUCUGGAGUUUGCUUUCUUUUUUUCUUUUUUUUUUUUGGUUUUUAUUCUUGUGAUUUCUUGGGAGUGACUUAUAUUUUUAGUCAUACAGACAAUCAGAUUAAUGUCAUUUCUCUUUUGUUAAGGUAGAAUCAGUUUCGGUGUCCAGCUACGAAAGUGAGUUCUGUUAACUCCAUCAAAUUAAGAGAUUUAUUGCAUUUACUAGCAUUUCACUUGUUACUCCUAUUCUUGCUGGUUACCAUUUGAUCUACUGCAGCUAUGUGUGGAUGGGGGUGUUCUUUCUUUCCUGUAAUGUGUCCUACUGCCACAGCUGAGAAAUGUUAGAAUGUUUUCAUAUGAGCAGCUGAGCUACAUUUGUUGGCCUAACUGUUAAGGGCAACUGAUGAUUCAUUCAUUUGACAUGGUGGAAUUUUUGGUUGAAUCCCCCAAUUUGUGAUGGCAAGAGAUUGUAGCUGAGAAGGCUGAGUCAGCUUCUCAAGAGAUUGAUGCAGUUAAAUUAUGGAAAAACAUAUAUGUUGCAUAAUCUGCAUGCACUGCAUUUUUAGCAUGCAUAUAAUAUACUUUAGGCUGGAAGGAAGAGGGAAGACAGGAACUGGAAUCACAUUUGUGGGAGAGCAGGGUGAAGAGGGAUGUCACUUGGUGCAUGCUAUUACUGUUGGUGGUAAAAACUUGUGAUUGAAAAUUAUUGGCCUUUUGACACUGACUCAUUGAUAUAACUUGUGAAUUUGUGAUUGCUUAGUCUUAUGCUCCAUUCAACAUUCAAAGGAUAUACUGUCAAGAUUUUUGGGUUAGAACAUGGCUUUUUUCACUAUGUUCUUGGAGGGUCAAAUUACAUCCAUCUUGGGGAUGGGAUGCACCUUCCUUACCUUAGAUAUUAUGGUUCAUGCAUUAGGUCAUCUGUUUCUGCCCUCUGAGCUGAAGUACUGAAAUAAAGAACAAACGCCUAACUCAAAACAGGAAAAUUAUGGAAUGGGUGGAAUGCAUCUGAUGGGUGUUCAUCCAACCUACCCAAUGAAUAAUUCAGAACAUUAUACUGAAUCCUCGCUCGAUAACUCUUUUCUUUCUAAAAAUAAUAAUUCCUUCCCAUAAAGAAAAAAAUAUAAAUACAUUUAAAAACAUAUAUAAAAGGUGUCAAUAAAAGAACUAUUGACCCAAAAUCUUAUUCUUAAAAUGGUUUAUUAUUGCCUUCUUUCCUUCUUUUUGAGCAAGAAAUAGAAUGAUUGUAACUUCAACCACAGGAGAUAUGAUUUAGAGAUUCCACCAGACUAGAAUUUAUAUGUGCCUACAACAAGUUCAUCGAAGCUAGGAGAAAAGAGAAAAAAGUAUCAAGCAUAGCUACCUAAUGCUCUUCACACAUUGACUGUUUUAAUCAAGGAAUUUCUUAUUUAAUGAUAGAUCUAGGUAGAAAAAUUGACCAUUUGGGGACAUAACAUAAUGCAAAAUGUUCAAAUAUCUUGUAGCCUACAAACAAAGCUGUCCGAUAUCUUAAAUGAGCAAAACAUUAGUCAAGCGUUGACUUCAAGAAGAAACCACCAAGAUUCAUUAAGCUGAUGCAAACCAACUGAUAAAAGGAAAUGAUUGAGGUCACUUAAGCUGCUGCUCCUGCACCUUUGCCCUUCUUCCUCUGGAUCUUCUUCAUGUAGAAUUCCAGCUCUUUUCCUUCCAAUAUGUAUCUGAGAAUUGGAGAAAGAAAGGCGAUUGAUAAAUUAGUUCAGAAGAUAUCAGAAUAUACAGGCCAAAUACUUGGAUAAAGCUUUUCGUGGUUGUCGUCAUUCUCACCCAUCUGCUCUGCCACACUGACCAGGGCGGGAAGAGAUAGAAGCCAACAAUCUUCCACUACCAAACUGCUCCUCAAUGUGGGGGUCCAGUUUUCGACCCUGCUGACGCUUCUCCAGCUUCCUGGUUACAUGGUUACUUUUCUUUUCUUCCUCUGUGGCAGCUUCACCCUCCUGCCAUCACCGUGAAAGAAGAGCCAUAAAACUAGAUUGAUAACUGAACUCGAGGAAACUAGGCUGAACAGCAGUGGAGAACUAGCUUGAAUCGAGCAUGGUCGACACAAACAUGACAAGGAUAAACCCAAAAAAAUAGAACAUCUACCUCAAAUUGCAGACCUUAUAAGUAUGGGCCAAAUGAAAGAUAAGAAACCGCAACCACGAGUGUAUCAGGUUUCUCUUACCAAAGAACCAGCUACCCCUAUGAAUUAGUCAAUCUGAUUCAGACAUAUUUGGAACAGGACCAACCUAAUUUCAGCUAACAAGCACCAACUGGUUCAGCCAAAUUUCAGAAUUUUUUUAUUGGUCCCAACAGGUGACAACAAAUUUCUAGUUGUCCUGGCUGAUUCAGAUUUUGGACUCAGAAAAUUUUGUAUCAUCCCAAAAGUGGCCAAAGGGGUGGAGAAAGAAAAAACAGAGGAAAAGGAAGAGGCCAGAGGCUCAACUUUACUAAUUGAUUAGUCGAUCCAACUGAUUGGCACCGUGUGACCCUAGAUCCUAUAACUGACAGUGAAAGCUAUCCCACAAAACUUGCUAAUAACAACACACUAGUCAAAAACAGGACUGAUCAGCUUAUAAACAAUCAAGUAAAAACAAUGGGAAUUGCAAAUCCUAGGAUUAUACAACAGCAAAUCAGCCGUAACUAAACAUUGACAUUUGAUACUAAAGUUGAACAAGAACAUGGCACCCUAGUUUUCUGCUUUUAAUUAAGCCCUCCUACUCUUCUUUUGACAUUCUUUUAAUAUGUUCUAUAAUUUUAUAGUCAAACACCCUUUAAGAAUGGUAAAAAAUGCAGAAUAAGUUUUGUAAUUAAAACAAAGAAAAUUUAAUUGAUACUUUUAACAGCAAAAACUUGAAAUGAUGGAGAGGCACCGUGUAACAAGUAGCAAAAAAAUUUUCCAAGUUUACAACCAAGUGAGAUAUCUGUGCCUUCAGAUGAAUCUUGUUUGAUAUACUAGAGCAGAUCACUUUACCUUCCUAACUCUUUUUAACAAACCUCUAGCUGCCUGACCUUAAUUCAGUAAUCAGUAAGGUUUUUUCAGGUGUAAUAGCAGAUAUGGUCCCCUGUACAAUAUCCAAACUGGAAAUUUAAAUCCUAAACAAAAGUUCUGUUCGACUUAAAUCCACAAACAUUAGUUUCUCAAGUGUUGAGAUUGCCAAUAUGGAACUUAUGGCCAUUUACAAGGAUUACAAUGGUAUAAUACUAUUUUUGAAAUCCAAUUUAUAGGUUGCUGGCAAUCUGAGUUGUAUUAUGGGAAAAGAAACUGAUAUCAUGUUUAAAGCAGCCCCAAAUUUGUAUGUGUGUGAUACAUAUUCGAUCACCUUAAUUUAUUUUGCAUUCUAUGCGUAAAUCAACCCAUUCAAUGAUGAAUCAAAAUGUCCAACAAAUACAACUAGAUUGCUUCUACUUGAUCACAUCUGCUACAGUGAUUAAGAUGGAAAGAAUGAUCAUGGAUCUGAUCAACUAAAGUUUGCAUCUCUAACUCAAACUUCUAUCUCAUACUAUAUAUAAUUAUGCUACUCCUUGCUAUGCUCCUGUGGAAAAAAAUUACAUAUUUUUAACCCAUUAGCUAACAUCUUGGUUUAUCAAGCAAACUCCAUCCUUGCCCAACUUUACUUUGGCCACGUAUCCAUCACUAUUUUAGAGGUGUCUUCUCAAAUCUGAGAUACAGCCUCAGAAAGUCAUCAGGAUAUAUAUAAAAUGAAACUCUAAUGAAAGUAUCAACAAACAAUUUUAACUAAAACUAAAAACACAUGGCUAUCAGGGACUCCAGAAAACUUCACACAAAAGAGAAUCACCUCUGUUGCUUCCUUCUUAGCAGAAGGGGCUUUCUUCUUCCUACCAAUCUCAACACCAUAGUGCUGAAGGUACCACUGCUUGAAUGGGGCAGCAUCAACCUGAAUAAUGGCACUCUUCACAAGGGUCUGUGUCCUCACAAGUUCGUUGUUUGAAGCAUUGUAGACCACAUCAAGGAUACGGGUUUUGCGAGUCACUGCCUCGCUCCCCCAUGAGUAAUUGCCAUGAUCCAAUCGGAGGGCCCUCCACUUCACGUUGCCUCCUCGAACUCGAAUCCUCCUCACGGUCUUGUUGCUCGAAAGCUUCGUACUGGCAGGCUGUCUUCCCAACUCGUACCUUUCGAGGCAAGACUAACAUUACAUCACGGCAAAACCAUCUCAAACAUAAUUAUCGGGAAAAAAACGAGUAAAAUACAAAUAGAAAGGAAAAAGAGAAACAUAUUAGUGGAUUCAAACAAAAUCCCCAACUUUUCAAGAGAAACCACCGAAAGCCUAACAGCAAAGAAUUUUCAGAGGCGCAGAGAUUCAAACAACGGAGGCUGGGGUGACUCGAUCGUACAUCCAUGAGAGCAAAAGUCCUAAUCUUUUCACAAUAUUAUGAAACAAAGAACUAACUUGUGCAGGAAAGCGAAUGCUACAAAUAAUCAACGCUUAAAGUGGACACAAACAGCUUCAAGCGAAAAUGUUUUGCAAGAAAAUAGAACAGAUUACAAAGAAGGAACUCACUUUCUCUUCUUCCGCCACGCCUUCUUCUUCCCUCCGGUGGCCCGCCUCUUGUGCAUGGAGUCUCGCGAGAUACCUGCGAGCAGGAGAGCAACGCCAUGGAUGGAAGUUGGGUAAAAGGAAAAACCCGAUCAGAUAUCAGCGUUUCCUACCGGAAUCGAGAAUCUAAGGUUCCGAUCCUUACCCAUGUUGGCCGGCGGUGGUGAGAAACACUGCGCCCUCUUCUUCUCUCCCGAAGUCCGCCGCCGCACUCCUCGGUUUCAGAGAUCUUCUCAGCAGCCCAAACCCUAGCCUUUUAUAUAGCGGGCAGAAUACGUUGGCUGCGAUGUAAUUAUAGCAAUUCCCAGGAGGGGCGCUAAAUCAGCCGUCGGAUCAAAACGUGUACGGCGUGAUCUUGAACUUCAACCCGAACCGUGAUGGGAGUUCGCAAGGUCGAACGAACCGGCCGGACUCAUCGAUCAAUGCAGCUAUCUGGUUUGGAAUUGGCUAACCCAAUUUGAUUGUUUGAAUGCAGCUAUAAUUGAAAUCAUUCUUCAUUUAAGUAAAAAAAUUUCUGAAUACUCUAUACAUAUAAUUCUUUGAAUUUAUAAGACUAUAUAGGAAUUCAAUGUUUUUGGGACCUUAGAAAUAUAUAUAUUUUUUUUAUUUAUUUAUGUUACUAGACUGUGUGUUGCUAAGACACCUCCUUUUAGUUUAUGGUUAACAAACAUAAACUGGUCAUUUGUAGCAUUCAUUAUUUUUCUUUAUAAGUGUAGAUAGCGUGAAUGAUGGUGGUGAAAGUAUUUUUGCUAUAUUAAAGUAUAUUAUAAUUGUCUGAUUAGAAUAUUCAUUCGGAGUUUAUUAUUAUGCAUGUUGCUUUCAUAUACAAGACCAUGUAUGAGCCCACUAUUACUAGCUCGAGAUAGAUCAAGUGACAACGGUUUAAGCUGGAUUAGUAUUCACUUUAAAAUUAGUGCCAUCAAAUAUGAUGCAGAUUGAUUGACAAGGCAAAAGGUCAAAAGUCACAACCACUAAUUAUAAAGAGGAUAUUUGGCUUGGGAUGAUUCAUAUUAUUUUAUGUGAUUGUUAGAAAUCAAAUAAUGAUGAGUAAGAGUCAAACUUAACAUUAUUUAAUGUGCCUAAACAAUUACAUAGCAAGAAAAAGAUGCCAUGACCCUGCAGACCAAGUGACUGGAAAUAAUUCCUGUGCAGUACAGAGCUUGAUUAGCCUGUUCCAACAGGAUACAGGGUCAAAUGCCUUACAGUACAACACAAAACCCGAGUAGCGGACAGAUGCUCGAAGAACCAACACCAAAUAACAACAAAUGCAGAAAACAACAAAUGCAAUGGCACCGAAGCAGACAAGCUAAUAAUAAUAAGUUCGUGCCUGAUUAAAGAUCAGGCAACCAUAUCCAACACAAAAAUUAGCUGUUGCCCCUAAAAAGCAUUAAUGAGAUGUGCAUAUUAACGCAAGCAUGCAACUUUCCCCAAGAACAGAGCAGCCUUCCCAAAACCUUUUCUUCGUGGUCCCCUGAACAUUGAACGAACAUCUAAAAGACAGUAAAGAACGAAGCAAGCAGAUAGCUCAUGACAUCUGUAAACCAUAACUAAAAAGAAAACGAAGGUUAUGUGAUCAGUGUCGAAUGGAUAUCACAUGGAACAUUAAUACUAUCAUCAAAAAUAUGAUGCGGUCGCCCCCUGUAAAAGUUGAGUCUUUCUAGUUUCCUGCAAAAGAAAAGGGGCUAAAGCAUCUCAAAUAUAAUAUCAACCGUCGGUGGCCGUGAGAAGCUUCGGCGGCAACCGUGACAACCGCCAUCCUAAAUAACAAGUCUUCAAGAUUAAGCAUAGAUGAGUUAGCGUAAACUGCUUCGCUACUGCUAAUGCCUCUAUUAGUUUUAAGUCCAGCUAUAAAUGCAUCCCUAAGGAAGUGAGAGGUUAGAGUCGACGGCCCGGAUCAAGCCUCGGGCUCGGGGCUCUUCUUCCCGACGGCCGCGAUGGCCCAGACGACACCGAACGGGUCCUUCACCUUCCCGAGAAGGCUGCCUUCCUCCUCCAACACCUCGCUCAUGACCUCCGCACCGGCAGCCACCGCCUUCUUCACGGCCGCGUCCACGUCCUCCGCCUCCAGCCGGAACGCGAUCCCACCGCCUCCAGCGGCCGCGGCACUCUCCUCUCCUCUGCCAUCACCACCGAAAUCACCAACCUAAUGAGAUCCCUAAAGAUCGGGGAGCUAGGGUUGAGUUGGGGGAAUGCCAGGGAUUACGCAGCGUCGAAGCAGUCGCUGACGAGGAUGAAGGAGGAGCCGAUCUUGAGCUCGGCGGAGAGGAUGAGGGGGCACUCCUGUUCCGCCUUGCGCUUCGGGUGCGUCACCCUCCCGAUCUCCUCCGCCCCGAAUGCCGCCUUGUAGAACUGCACAGCCGCCUCCGCCUUCAUCCCCGGCACAACCAGCUGCGGCUUGAAACCCAGCAACGCCACAUCCGCCAUCGCCUCGAGGAAGAAGAACGAUACCGAACCCUAGAAGAGAACGUGAAGGACAAAGCAGCGGCAGCGAAGUGAGAAGCAAAGAGGCUUCACAGGUCGGAAGUAUUUAUAGCAGAUGAAGGCCAUGAAACCGUUGGAAUACUUUCCAUUAAUUUAAUCGUCAUUCCACAACCGCCCAUGCUUUUAGCGUAAACUACGAGCCUGCCAUUCACCGAUUUGAACGGCUUCGCCUCAUGCUUUUCGUCCCUCCCGAGGCGUCCUCGUACACCGUAUCAAAAGCCGGUGGACUCGAAGGCAGCGAUGCUAGAUCUGAACCGUUCGUCGGAGUCUGUGCAAGUGAUCGGACGGACCGCAUUAGUGUCGGUCAAUGAAAGCGACCCGCGGCACGGAGGACGAGUAGGUGUGGUCUGUUUUAUUCUCCCGGGUAGGGGUAAAUUUGUAGUUUUCGGAUAAAUUGUAGGGGUAUUUAUGUAAAUCAAUGGCUUUGAUGGUGUCACGUUUUGUGUGAGGAGAGGGGCACCGGGGACGAAGGUCCUCAGGGAUUAAGGAUCUUCUUCAGAAUUAAUUUGAAUAGAACUGGAAUGACCGGCAUCGGAACCGUUCAUUGACGUUAGUUUUAAGAAUUGACGGUCGGAUCGAAGUUUUACUGAUGCAGUGGCUGGGGAGGAUCCGAUUGCACCUGUGGCGUGGACAUGCCCGCUUUAAGUUUCCGAAAGGCAGCAGCGGAUUUGUACUCCAAAAUCACGUCACCCGAUGUUGACCCAUGAGAGGUGCAGUGGGGCCCGUCGCCUGAAGGGAAAUAAGUGGUGUGGUAUUUCUGGAGUAACAGAUUCGGCGUUCCUUUUCUUAAUUUUCAUUAAACUAUCGCACUCUUUUGGCUUUGACUCAACUGUGUAACCCGCCUCCGCUGCGCGGGACCCACACUUUGCUCGUGCCGUGCAUUCGAUGGCCUGUGGAUGUGGGUCUCGCCAAGCUGUGUGGUUCGGCGGAACACAUACCUGGGGAGGUCCAGGUGGACCCCGACUGGAAUGAGUGGGGAGCUUUGGUACGAUUACAAACGUUACCCGCGGAUAAAAUAAUGUUCACAAUAAAUAAGUAGGUUUAAAAAAUAUAAUUUUUAAGAGAAAACAAAUAUUUUAUUGACAAUAUUAAUGAUAAAUAUAAAUGAUGAUAAUCCUUUACUAGAUUUAAAAUAAUAUUAUGAUAAAUUUAGUUAUCUAAUAUGAAGUUAUUCGAGGUUCAAAAUAUCAAUAAUAUAAAUUUAUAAUAUUAAUAAGGGAUUAUGAGUAUACUGUAAGAUUUUAUCUUUUCAAUGGAUAUGAGUUUUAAAAGAUGCAGAAGUUAAAGGAGAUUUGCUCAUGUUCAUGUGGAACUAAAUGAUUUUAUCAAGUAUUUAAGGUACGUCAAAAUUAAAUAUACACCAAAUACAAAGAUACAAAAUUAAUAAUUUAUUUAAGUUAGCUUUCUCAUUAGUACUGAUAGGGGUAAUAAUGGCGACAUGACGUGUCACGACGUCGGGCCCACCUGGGCGCCACUCUGUCCGAGAAGGAGGGCAAUAAUGCUGACUCGACAUGCGCUGACAUCAUCCGCUCUCAAACAAUGACUUCGUCGUCGUCUAACCCCGCGCGCUUAACCAAGGCAGAGGAGGACAACGACCAAAGCUCGCCCAUACCCUGCGGCAGUUCGGUUCUCCACGCAACGUCUAUAGCAACGUUAGAUGCCAUCAGAGGUACGACCCUGCCCCCCGCAGGCAGGCACAUCAGGUAACACUAAACCACCCUAUAAAUACCCCCCGAGUUCAAAACGAAGGGGGAGGACACUUCUUCACCAGAAAAACUACCUUCCACAUCAUCUGACUUGAUCGUCGGAGGGGUCGGGCCAAGCUUCUGACCCGACCUGUGUGCAGGAAUGAAGGCGAGGUCGCACCUUCGCCACGCUGCGCGGAGGCUUCACCCCCGCGCUACAUUCCAUCCGGACAACCGUGACGGGCCACCCCGACUGCCCCGAGGAGCGCCGCGCCGGAUCCCCACGCAUUCGAACCCGAACCAAGCCGCAUCGGCCCCGAGGCCACGGCUUACGGUUGUUUCCCACGACAAGUACUACAUAGUCAACAUCAUUUGGUCAAAUAGAUUUGGAAUGUUGGCCUUAGACACAUCAUUUUCUCUUUAUAUAUAUAGUUUUUCUAACACUUGUUUCUGUCAAUAGCGAUUCAUACGGAUUAUAUGAUUAAGUAAUAGAAGGUGCGGUUAGAUUAAGGGUGUUACCGUACAUGAGAUGGUUGCACAAAUCUCAAGCCCAUCAAACGGUGCAUCCGGGGUGCAAAAUAUUAGAAACAAAUAUCUAAAAAGAAAAUACAUGUGUCUUAACCAUAGUUAUAUACCUCUGGUGACUUGAACUCAAACAUGGGAUUUAGGACGACACUUUGGUAUGGGUUAGAAUUCAACGUGAAGAAAAAGGAGGUGAUUUCAUAGAAGCUGAUAUGAUAAAAGACCCCAUUGACGGUAGUAGACAAUGAAUAAAGUGAUAAUGCUAACACACACUGCAUGCCACACUAAACAAGGAUUACAGAUGAGACUCCACCCAAUAACAAAGACUCACUGAUGACAUACUCCGAUAUAUUAUUCCCAUAGCAGCUAUUAUUACUAGUAACUCUUAAAUGGCAUCAAACCUCACUCAAAUGACUUCACUCCGAGGCCACGGCCGGCUCCGCUGCAGCCUCCUCGGCGGCGGCCGGUGCAGCGGCUUCUUCGGUUGCCGCCUCCGGCUCCUCGACCGUCGGAUCCGUGGUCUCCUCAGCUACGGGAGCGGCGGCCUCGGGUUCAGCCUCCGGCUUUGCCUCCUCGGUAGGCUCCGCUGCUGCCGGUUCGGCCUCGGUGGCUACGGGCUCGGCCGCGGGCUCUUCAGCCGGCGUCUCCUCAUGCUCUGCUGCUGCUGCUGCUUCUUCUGCUGGGGUUUCUUCUUCUUCUUCUUUGGGCUCGUCGACGGCCGGAGCAGGAGCAGGUUCGGCCUCGACGGCCGGCGCAGGUGCAGGUUCGGCCUCGACGACAGUAGCAACCGGGACAUCAGCCGGAACCUCAACGACAGGAGCUGAUUCGACCUGCAUGAAGACAACAGAAGGAGACAUUUAGCUCUAACUCGGCCGUGCAUCGGUGUGGAUGACGACUGAGCAUGCAGAUCCAGGAGCUCUUCCUAGGAAUCACAUCUUUCUAGCAGAUCUAAAGUAGAUGCAGGCAGAGUUCAACCCUCACUCCAUCUACAACCGAGUGUUCCCGAGAAGAGAGAUAACAAGUGAGUUCAUGCUCUCUUCAGGUUCGGAUAGCUACACCAGACAUGAUCGAACCUGAGAUCAUCGAUCUGAUCUCAAGUAAACCCCCUCCCCCCACACACACAACACAACCUACUCUUUUGCUGAUCUGAUCUGAUCUCUAGGCAGGAGGAUCAUGACAGAAGCCAAUUGCAGCUGAUGGCUCAUAGGACAAGGUCGUGGCUCACCUCAACAGAAGCCAUGGGAGAAGGUGAGAAGAGCUGAAGGAGAACAAGAGUGGAGCGACAAGUGAUCUACCAAAGCAGUGGGGUGGGAGAGGUCAUUGGGGAUGGAAGGGUAUUUAUACAGAGAUGCAAUGGCACUCAGAAUCUUUACAGACAACCAGCCACGUACGAUUGGCUGGAUCACACCAUUAGUUUACUCUCCCAUCUCCGGUCAUCCACGCACCUUUUGCCCAUCAGUGUGUGUGUAUUAUUUUGCGUGAUGCACUCCCAGCUAUAAUGGAUUGAUAUGUGCACUCCCUCCAUCUUUGGAUAUAUGCUACUGUGUUGGUAAUAUGAACAGAAAUUAUCUUAGUAAUUCGCAAAUUAUGUAAACGCGAUGAAUUAUUAUUAUUAUUGACUAUAGUAAACAAGAUUACAUAAAAAAUCUCAUACGAUUUUG
rnacentral:lncRNA from 1 species